AGGCUUCCUAAAAGUUGCAUGUUAUGUUGGUCAGUUUAUAUGAAGUAUCAAGAACAAGCAAAACCAUGGAGACAGAAAAUAAAAUAGCGUUGCUAAUGCCUAAGGGAGGUUGAAAUAGGAGGUGUCCACUAAUUGCUAGAAUGUUUCUUUGUGUCAGUGAUGAAAACUUUCUAAAUUUCAGUAGCAGUGAUGGUUGUAACUCUGUGAAUACACUAAACAUCACUGAUUUUUAAUCAUUUUAAGUGGAUGAAAUUUAUGCUAUGUGCACCGUACCUCAAUGAAGCUGUCCAAAACAAAAAUAUAUACUGUCCUGGGAUUGCUUGAGUCUGCAUUUAAUCUCUAAAGUAAUUUUUAAAGAUUAGCUUCUUGACAUUUCCAUACAAUAUCAUAUUGUGUCCUUCAAUGUACUGGGUUCAAUGUAUGGGGUUUUCUUUAAUUUCUCUCUAUCAUAUUAUGUAUUUUGGGGGUUUGAAUCAUACAGAAAUGCAGAUAUUUUACAUUCAUGCUUUUGUAAAUAGCAUUCUGAUUUUAAUAUUCCCUUUAAUAACUUUUGUUACUGUAAAUAGAAAUACAACUGAUGUCUGCAUUUUCACUUAUUUUACAUAUUUAAAUCUAUCAUUUCAAACAGAUUUUUCUGGAUUUUCUAUAUAAACAGCAAUUUUAUUUUCUUUUCUUUUUCUUUUUUUUUCUUUUUUUAUUAUUAUUAUACUUUAAGUUUUAGGGUACAUGUGCACAAUGUGCAGGUUUGUUACAUAUGUAUACAUGUGCCAUGUUGGUGUGCUGCACCCAUUAACUCGUCAUUUAGCAUUAGGUAUAUCUCCUAAUGCUAUCCCUCCCCCCUCCCCCCACCCCACAACAGUCCCCUGUGUGUGAUGUUCCCCUGCCUGUGUCCUGCAAAUAAUCACACUUUUAUUUUUUCUAUCCAUGUGCCACAACUUAUUUUUUCUUCAUUUAUUUUCUCUGGCUAGUACUUUAUAUCCAGAGUUGAAUAGAAGGUACAAUCAAAUUUUACAUGUAUCAUAUGUAUCAUUUUCUGGUUUUGGCAAAAAAUAAUUCAACAUAUUAUUCAUAUUUACAAAGUUUGGUGUUUUUUUCAUCAUAUCUUUCUUAUAUUGAAGUGGUUUUAUAAUAUUCCUUUUUUCAAUAGAUGUUAUCAAUUGUAACAUUUUUAUUUUUUAUUACUUAGAAUGAUAUAUGUUUUCUUUAUACAACAUUUUAUAAAAUAAUUUUAUUUUUGUCAAAUGUUAAACUAGGCUUUGUUUCCGAAACAAAUCCAUGCUGAUCAUUGUAUAUUGCCCCUUAUAAAAUAUCAGUGCACAUACUACUAUAUCUAGGGUAAGAUAUGUUUCUUCAUCUAUGUUCACAAGGAUAUUUGACCACGUUUUUAUUUGUAGCUAUGUACUUGAAAAAGUUUUGGUCUCAAGGCUAUCUUGGGAAGAUUUUCUGUUUCUCUAUAACCUGGAAGCAUUUGUUAAGAGUACUGCUUUAGCCAUAAAAAAGGAUGAGUUCAUGUCCUCUGCAGGGACAUGGAUGAAGCUGGAAACCAUCAUUCUCAGCAAACUAUCACAAGGACAGAAAACCAAACACCGCAUGUUCUCACUCAUAGGUGGGAAUUGAACAAUGAGAACACAUGGACACAGGGAGGAGAACAUCACACACCGGGGCCUGUCGGGGGGUGGGGGGUUGGGGGAGGGAUAGCAUUAGGAGAAAUACCUAAUGUAAAUGAUGAGUUGAUGGGUGCAGCACACCAACAUGGCACAUCUAUGCCUAUGUAACAAACCUGCACGUUGUGCACAUAUACCCUAGAACUUAAAAUAUAAUAAUAAUAAUAAAGAGUACCGCUUUAUUUUUAAAUGUUAUCAUUCACUAGUUAUGCCAUCUGAGUUUGCAGGCUAUUUUUGUAGAAAAGUUUAUGGCUAAACUGAAUUUCUUCAAUACAUGUAGGGUUUACUCAGAUUUCUAUUUGAGGUACUAUAUUUUGGUAAUGAGCAUUUCCCAGGAAUUUUCUAUUUCAUAUGGACAUUAAAAUGCAUUGAUAAUAUAGUUUUAUUGCCUGUUUAAUAACUGUAAAGACCAUAAUGGUAUUGCCAUGUUUAAACUGGGAAUAAAAUAUCUGUGCCUUUUCAAAAUCUUCCCUUAGUAGUCCUUUGUGACCAUUCAUCUUGAUAAU
rnacentral:lncRNA from 1 species